GAUGAACGCUGGCGGCGUGCCUAAUACAUGCAAGUCGAGCGAACAGACGAGGAGCUUGCUCCUCUGACGUUAGCGGCGGACGGGUGAGUAACACGUGGAUAACCUACCUAUAAGACUGGGAUAACUUCGGGAAACCGGAGCUAAUACCGGAUAAUAUAUUGAACCGCAUGGUUCAAUAGUGAAAGACGGUUUUGCUGUCACUUAUAGAUGGAUCCGCGCUGCAUUAGCUAGUUGGUAAGGUAACGGCUUACCAAGGCAACGAUGCGUAGCCGACCUGAGAGGGUGAUCGGCCACACGGGAACUGAGACACGGUCCAGACUCCUACGGGAGGCAGCAGUAGGGAAUCUUCCGCAAUGGGCGAAAGCUUGACGGAGCAACGCCGCGUGAGUGAUGAAGGUCUUCGGAUCGUAAAACUCUGUUAUUAGGGAAGAACAAAUGUGUAAGUAACUAUGCACGUCUUGACGGUACCUAAUCAGAAAGCCACGGCUAACUACGUG
rnacentral:rRNA from 1 species